GUUCUCAACGCCGCGUCGAUGUCCGAUUAGCCUUUGAGCGUCGACCGUCGGUAUUUCAGUUCGUACUCGGCGUAGAAGCGUCGGUUUUCGACGGGACAUGGUUCGUUGGAUUCGGGACUUCGAGAGGAAUCCACGAAGCCCUUACUUGCUGGAUUUGGUAAAGGUUUGCUAGAGUUUGGCGGGAGCUUGACUUCAGGCCUUGGGAGGUUUUCGGACGUUUCGGCAGGUUGUUCCGCAGCCGAGGGGAGUUCCGUGCUGCCAGGGAUUAGCGAGCGAGGUGGGUUAAUCAUCGGUUUAUACUCCUAAGUGCUUAGUA